rnacentral:rRNA from 1 species
GUGAGGAAUAUUGGUCAAUGGGCGCAAGCCUGAACCAGCCAUCCCGCGUGCAGGAUGACGGCCCUAUGGGUUGUAAACUGCUUUUAUACACCAAGAAAAAUCCGAACGUGUUCGGACCCGACGGUAGUGUAUGAAUAAGCAUCGGCUAACUCCGUGCCAGCAGCCGCGGUAAUACGGAGGAUGCAAGCGUUAUCCGGAUUCAUUGGGUUUAAAGGGUGCGUAGGCGGCUUUUUAAGUCAGUGGUGAAAUCCUGUCGCUUAACGAUAGAAUUGCCAUUGAUACUGAAGAGCUUGAGUUCAGUUGAGGUAAGCGGAAUGUGUAGUGUAGCGGUGAAAUGCUUAGAUAUUACACAGAACACCGAUUGCGAAGGCAGCUUACUAAACUGUUACUGACGCUGAUGCACGAAAGCGUGGGGAGCGAACAGGAUUAGAAACCCCGGUAGUCC